rnacentral:misc_RNA from 1 species
UACGUAGGUGGCAAGCGUUGUCCGGAAUUAUUGGGCGUAAAGCGCGCGCAGGCGGUUAUGUAAGUCUGAUGUUAAAGCCCGGGGCUCAACCUCGGUUCGCAUUGGAAACUGCGUAACUUGAGUGCAGAAGAGGAAAGCGGUAUUCCACGUGUAGCGGUGAAAUGCGUAGAGAUGUGGAGGAACACCAGUGGCGAAGGCGGCUUUCUGGUCUGUAACUGACGCUGAGGCGCGAAAGCGUGGGGAGCAAACAGG